UCCUCCCUCUUUCUUCGUGCUUAACACAUGCAAGUCGAACGGAAAGGCCCUGCUUUUGUGGGGUGCUCGAGUGGCGAACGGGUGAGUAACACGUGAGUAACCUGCCCUUGACUUUGGGAUAACGUCAGGAAACUGGGGCUAAUACCGGAUAGGAGCUCCUGCUGCAUGGUGGGGGUUGGAAAGUUUCGGCGGUUGGGGAUGGACUCGCGGCUUAUCAGCUUGUUGGUGGGGUAGUGGCUUACCAAGGCUUUGACGGGUAGCCGGCCUGAGAGGGUGACCGGCCACAUUGGGACUGAGAUACGGCCCAGACUACUACGGGAGGCAGCAGUGGGGAAUAUUGCACAAUGGGCGGAAGCCUGAUGCAGCAACGCCGCGUGCGGGAUGACGGCCUUCGGGUUGUAAACCGCUUUCGCCUGUGACGAAGCGUGAGUGACGGUAAUGGGUAAAGAAGCACCGGCUAACUACGUG
rnacentral:rRNA from 1 species